AUCACUUCUUGCCUUUUGGCUAAGAGCAAGUGUGGUAUCUGUUCUUAUCAAAUUAAUACACAUAGAGUGCAUAAAUAUGCAUAUAGUAUCAUCUGACACCUUUGCCUGUGUAGAGAACACUCAGCCACAUUGUUUCAUGCUUGAAUUGGAUCAAUUACGACUGCAAGUUCUGUAACAAUAUAAAAUCUAUU